rnacentral:rRNA from 1 species
UACGAAGGGGGCUAGCGUUGUUCGGAUUUACUGGGCGUAAAGCGCACGUAGGCGGAUACUUAAGUCAGGGGUGAAAUCCUGGAGCUCAACUCCAGAACUGCCUUCGAUACUGGCGAUCUUGAGUCCGGAAGAGGUGAGUGGAACUCCUAGUGUAGAGGUGGAAUUCGUAGAUAUUAGGAAGAACACCAGUGGCGAAGGCGGCUCACUGGUCCGGUACUGACGCUGAGGUGCGAAAGCGUGGGGAGCAAACAGG